rnacentral:rRNA from 1 species
UACGUAGGGGGCAAGCGUUGUCCGGAAUCACUGGGCGUAAAGGGCGCGUAGGCGGCUUACCAAGUCAGGCGUGAAAUUCCCGGGCUCAACCUGGGGGCUGCGCUUGAUACUGGUGAGCUUGAAUGCGGGAGAGGAUAGUGGAAUUCCCAGUGUAGAGGUGAAAUGCGUAGAUAUCUGGAGGAAUACCGGUGGCGAAGGCGGCAUCCUGGACCGAGAUUGACGCUGAUGAGCGAAAGCUAGGGGAGCAAACGGG